GACGAACCGUGCGAACGUUGUUCGGAAUCACUUGGCUUAAAGGGCGCGUAGGUGGUUUGCCAAGUCGGGGUUGAAAUCUUUCGGCUUAACCUGGGAACUGCAUUGGUGACUGGCAGGCUUUGAGUGUGGCAGAGGGAGGUAGAAUUCCACGUGUAGCAGUGAAAUGCGUAGAGAUGUGGAGGAAUACCGAUGGCGAAGGCAGCCUCCUGGGCCAACACUGACGCUCAUGCACGAAAGCGUGGGGAGCAAACAGG
rnacentral:rRNA from 1 species